AUACGGAGGGUGCAAGCGUUAUUCGGAAUCACUGCGCGUAAAGGACGCGUAGGCGGGUUGGCAAGUCAGAUGUGGAAUCCUACAGCUUAACUGUAGAACUGCUUUUGAAACUGCUAACCUAGAGUAUGGGAGGGGGAGAUGGAAUUAGUGGUGUAGGGGUAAAAUCCGUAGAUAUCGCUAGGAAUACCGAAAGCGAAGGCGAUCUCCUGGAACAUAACUGACGCUGAGGCGUGAAAGCGUGGGGAGCAAACAGGAUUAGAUACCCUAGUAGUCC
rnacentral:rRNA from 1 species